UAGGGAAUAUUGCACAAUGGGCGAAAGCCUGAUGCAGCAACGCCGCGUGCGCGAAGAAGGCCUUCGGGUCGUAAAGCGCUUUUCGGGGAGAUGAGGAAGGACAGUAUCCCCGGAAUAAGGCUCGGCUAACUACGUGCCAGCAGCCGCGGUAACACGUAGGAGCCUAGCGUUAUCCGAAUUCACUGGGCGUAAAGCGCGUGCAGGCGGCUCGAUAAGUUGGAUGUGAAAGCUCCUGGCUCAACUGGGAGAGGACGUUCAAUACUGUCGGGCUAGAGGGUGGCAGAGGGAGGUGGAAUUCCCGGUGUAGUGGUGAAAUGCGUAGAUAUCGGGAGGAACACCAGUGGCGAAAGCGGCCUCCUGGGCCGCACCUGACGCUCAGACGCGAAAGCUAGGGGAGCGAACGGGAUUAGACACCCCGGUAGUCCUAGCUGUAAACGAUGUAGACUUGGUGUAGGUGGGGUAAAAGCCAUCUGUGCCGAAGCCAACGCGAUAAGUCUACCGCCUGGGGACUACGGCCGCAAGGUUA
rnacentral:rRNA from 1 species